rnacentral:lncRNA from 1 species
CCUCCUACCCGUCAGACACUAUGGCCAGUGAUCAAGCAUAUUUGUAUCUUCCCAGGUACCCAACAGAACACCUCCCAUAUAACAGGCCCUCAGAAAAUGUUUGCUGAACGGAGAGCUCAGUAAUACUCUUUUUCUCUGCUAUUUCAAUUGAUCAAAAAAGUUCAAGAAAAAUUUUGCCAUUGUGAUAAUGAAGUAUAAUCCCAUUGGAUGCAGGUAAAUUUUCACACAGCACUUUAGUUUCUCUCAGACACAUCUGUGGUUCUGUCCCCUCCAUGGCCUACUCAGAUCCUCCCUCCAACUGAAGGGCACACACCGCAUACCCUAUCCGACACACAUGUUCCAGCCAACAUCCCUGCCUUCCUUCAAAAUCUGUCCAAAUCCUUCCCUGCUGCUGAGCCCACUAGAACAAUCCUGAGCAUCCAGCAAGUAUCCUUCUUAAUCAGUGUGUUUGUUUCCUAGGACUACAGCAACAGAGUACCACAAAAUGAAUGGAUUAAGACGACAGAGAAUGUUGUUGCCAAGUUCUAGAGACUAAAAGUUCAAAGUCAAGGUCACGUUCCCUCUGAAGUCUCCAGGACAGAAACCUUCCUCCUCUCUUCCAAUUUCUGGAGCCGUCAGCAUCCUUACUAUUUUGGAUUUGUAGAUGCACCAUUCCAAUUUCUGCCUAAGCCUCCUGUGGCCUGAUCCCCUCAAUAGCUUUGUCUGGUGCCUCCUAAUUUCAAUAUGAUUUCACCUAGACUUGAUUAUGUCUAUAAUGACCCAAUGUUCAAAUUCAUGUCCACAGGUUCUGAGUGGACCUCAAUUUGUGGAGGACACUAUUCCAACCCAGUUCAAGAAGAGAUCAGUAUGAAUAGAGAGACCUAUACCACAGGGUAUUAUGUUAAAGGUUUCAAGCCACUCAUAACUGAAGCCUCUGGGCACCCUAACAAAAAUAGCUAAAAGAAAAAAAAGAAAUUAUAUUAAGCAAAGGAAAUAUGACUAUAAAACCCCAA